rnacentral:lncRNA from 1 species
UUCUUCUUGCUUCCUCUCCAACGAAGCAUUCUCUAACCUAGGUUUUCUUCACUUCAAAAAUGGAAAACCAAGAAAGGGCUCGAUCCUCAACCUUGCGUUCAAGGAGUCAAAGGUCUUGAUGAGGAGUUGGUCGUGCGACGUCAAUCCUAAGAGCUUGGUGGCGGCCUGGUCUCUGUGGCUAAACGUGUACACCUUCUUCAUGUACAACUUCAAAUCCAAAUUGUGAGCACUUGAGAAAUCGAAUUCUAAAAGAAGUUGUUCUUUCUCUGUUUUGAAAAUGUGUUGCCUAAAUUUCCUAUUUCUUGUUCCAAAAUUGCAACCUAAAUAUUGUGUCUUCCUGAAUCCCCAAUUUCUAGUUUCAAUUUGUGAAACCGAAAGCCCUAAUCUAAUUUGUUGUUCGAAAAUGAAAACCCAAAUUUCCAAUCUCGACUUCGAAAAUCAAAAGUGAAAAAUUCAAUCAAGAGCUCUGCAAAGGAAGUUGGAUUGAAGCCUCAUUCUCGUCUAGCGCUUCAGAUUGUGGUGUCGUUGACGAAUAUCCAUCGUCGCGGCUUGAACUAGUGGUGAGUCAGAGGAGACAUUUGGAGGAUUCAUUGAUUAAGUAUUGAGAAAGGUAUUGACAUUCUUUCUCUUUCAUUUGUGUUUGGAUAAUGUUCAAUAGGUUUAGGGUUUUUUACGGCAUACUUUAAAUGAAGGGGAAUUCUGAGUACUCAAAUCUCAGCUUGUGUUUUGGGUGGCUAAGAUGGGAUAUCUCAGUAUUUCAUGGUUGACUGUGUAUGAAAUAUUGUAUGAAGCUUUGAUGUGAUGAAAAUGGACAGUGGUGUAGCAUGCGUUUAGAAAUUAAGUGUAAUUGUAUUUAUAUGUGGAAGGGGUUAGUGAUGAGGGUUUAUAAGCAAAAACAGAUUAUAUAUGUAGAAACAUCAAAAGCUUUUUCUUUUUUACUUGAAUUAAGUUAUUUGGUUGAGUUGAAGAGAGAAUAGGAUACCUUAGAAUCUUAAGUAGUGGGAAAUUAUUGUGUAAAAAUAACUAAUAUAAAUUAUUAAUGUUAAUCUACCUGUGUGCAGUAUUCCUUCUUCCUAAAACCCUUAUACUAUUUUCCUUCUAAAAACACAUUCUUAGUUUUUCAUUGUCCAUUUUUAUUUAUUGUUGACUAUAUUCUUGUGAUGUAUUGCCAUAUUUUCACCAUUUUAAAAUAAGUCCAAGAAGAAUAGGGUAAUAUUGGGUCACUUCUCAGAUGUAUAUUUUAGCUUCUUUGUGGCUAGCAUCCCGAGUGUUUAGGGUUUAGGGUUUGGGUGGUCCACAUUCUCUUCAAUUUCAAGAUUAAAAUGACUUCCUCAUUUCAAUAUUGAACUUAGUAUUAUCAGGUCAGUACAAAAUAUUAAGGAAUAUAAGGAUGAAACUAGACAUGGAAAAAUAAAUUAUUUGAAACUAAAAUAUAUCAAAAGAAUUUGUACUAUGUAAUAUUAUCAACAACCCAUUUAUUAAUUUUCUUAUUAUCUUAUAAAAAAGUUAGCAUAUAAAUCAAGGAAGAAAAUUGGUAACACAAGAUUAUGAGAAAAUUUACUAUUAUGUUAAAUGAAACUACAAGAAUUUUGGCUAAGAGGUGAGUAGUUAAUCAACUUUUGUAUUGUGUAUUGUUUCACCUUCUUGACAAUUAAGAACUCUGAAUGAUUUGUGUUUUUAGUUUCAUGUGUUAUGUUGAACGGUUUUGGUUUUGAUGCUAAGUUAAAGUUUUGUGGAGCUCUAAGGAACCUGUUUUUCUUUAUGUUGCAUGUUAUGUGAGCUCUGAAUAUGUUUCCAAACACACACUUCAUCAAAUUAUUAGUGUUAUAACCUUCUCUCUUCAACCGUAUUGGCAAUGUAACAUGAGGAUUUCAAUUUGAUAGUUGAAUUUGAAUUUGGAGCAAUAUAGAGAGGCACAAUGACAACUAUGAUAAGCCAAGUUGAAAGAGUGUUAUGCUUCUCUGAAACUGAACAGUACGAGCUCAGUCCAUUGCAUAUCAACCACUUUGGUUUGAAGAAAAUCUGAAGAUAUCAGAGUGAUGUCAUUAGGUAACCAUAUUUCAACUUUUUUUAAUUCCUUUCACUAUCUUAAGAGUUUUGGUCCUCUCAAGUUAAAAUUUUUGGAUACCAGUGGAUUAGUUAAAUCUGCUGUCAUGGUUAAAAGGGUUUAGAGAAUUUGGAAAAUGAAUUGAGCACUUAUAAAUGCUGGCCUUUUGUGGGAGGCAUGCUCUCUCUCUAUCAUGGACUAGUGUGGUCUUAUUUGCUAUUUUGCUGACUUGGCUUAAGUGUUUUCCCUUUCACUAAGUUGUUUUGUGCACUCAUCUUCAUCCAUUAUGCUACCUUUUUUUUUGUUGAAGUAUGAAAUAAUAGGAGAAAAUUUUUAUUUGUUUUUUUUCCUAACUUGCCUUUAAGAGAAAACUACAUUGAAAAGAUCAAUGGAUAUGUAAAUUCUAAAAUGUAAAAUUCUCUAAAGCAACAAAACAUAAUGCAACAAUCAAGUAUCAUAGCAAUUCAGAACCAUUUUAAUGAUUCUUUAUUUACAUUUUCUGUAAUGAAUAAUAACUUGUGGUUUACGGUUGAAGACCACAACAUAAGAAUGUACAUCAAAUCAUAAAAAUUCCAUUUGAACUAGAGAAUUAGGUUCAUAAAAAAAAAUCUUGCACAACAAAUUGAGAAACAACCUAUCAUUAUUAAGUAGUUGACCUGAUUAGCCUUGGGAUAUUGGAACUCAAAUCGUUAUUAUAGGUUGACCUUUUUAGACCAACCUAUAAUAAAACCACAAAGGUGGCAUUUAAAAAAGAAUAUUCAAAUAUAUUUCUUCUUUCAAUUUGAGAUGUUCUUUGGAAGUAUUUCACACAUGAUUAAGAGGAAAUAGGAAAAGUUGUUAGAAUUAAUUUACUAUACAUUAGAAUUUUACAACUGAUUGAUAAGGAGAUUUUCAUUUUCUUUGUUUUGUGUAAUACAGUUAGGUACCUAUUCUAAUUGGUUAGUAUUGUUCUUCCUUUCCUUAUUUCUGAUAUACGAAGUGCCAUUUAACAACAAUUUGAACAAGUGUUGCUGCAACAAGAACCACCAAGGCAAAAGGAACCACUAAGGAAAAGGAGCCACCAAGGCAAAAGGAACUACCUAGACAACAAGAAGAUGACGAUAUUGAUUAUGCAUGCUAUUAGGAUUAUGUUUGUAGUUCUUUUAAAUUUUAGAUUAUAUUACAAGUUCACUAGACUUUUGAAUUAUGGAUCUUUAGUUAUGUUUCAAGUUUGUUUGAAUUUUUUUUAUAUUUCAAGUGGACUUGAGUUUAUCUUUCAUAUGAUGAGAACUUCAAUUAUAUUAUGUUUGAAUUCGAAAUUAAAUGUGUGUUUUAUUUUAUUUUAUGUUAG